rnacentral:rRNA from 1 species
UACGAAGGGGGCUAGCGUUGCUCGGAAUUACUGGGCGUAAAGCGCACGUAGGCGGUCUUUAAGUCGGGGUGAAAUCCGUGGAGCUCAACUCCAGAACUGCCUUCGAUACUGGAAGACUUGAGUCCGGGAGAGGUGAGUAGAACUGCGAGUGUAGAGGUGAAAUUCGUAGAUAUUCGCAAGAACACCAGUGGCGAAGGCGGCUCACUGGCCCGGUACUGACGCUGAGGUGCGAAAGCGUGGG